UACGAAGGGAGCAAGCGUUAUUCGGAUUUACUGGGCGUAAAGGGUGCGUAGGCGGUAAGCUAAGUCAGUUGUUAAAUUUCCCGGCUCAACCGGGAAUCAGCGAUUGAAACUGAUUUACUAGAGUACAGGAGAGAGAAGUGGAAUUAUCGGAGUAGCGGUAAAAUGCGUAGAUCUCGAUAGGAACACCGAUGGCGAAGGCAGCUUCUUGGCCUGGUACUGACGCUGAGGCACGAAAGCGUGGGGAGCAAACAGG
rnacentral:rRNA from 1 species